GCUCCACUGGCGCAAUGGUAGCGCGCCAGACUUCUAAACGAAGUCCAAUCUGGAGGCUGUGAGUAACAAUGGACAAUAUCCUUCUCGAAGAUAUCACUAACCUGUGCGAAGGUGGGUUCGAGUCCCACGUGGAGUG